AUUGAACGCUGGCGGCAGGCCUAACACAUGCAAGUCGAACGAGUGGCGGACGGGUGAGUAAUGUCUGGGAAACUGCCUGAUGGAGGGGGAUAAAUACUGGAAACGGUAGCUAAUACCGCAUACCCUCAGAUGUGCCCAGAUGGGAUAAGCGAGUUGGGGGGGUAAAGGCUCACCAAGGCGACGAUCCCUAGCUGGUCUGAGAGGAUGACCAGCCACACGGGAACUGAGACACGGUCCAGACUCCUACGGGGGGCAGCAGUGGGGAAUAUUGCACAAUGGGCGCAAGCCUGAUGCAGCCAUGCCGAGUGUAUGAAGAAGGCCUUCGGGUUGUAAGGUACUUUCAGCGGGGAGGCGGUACCCGCAGAAGAAGCACCGGCUAACUCCGUGCCAGCAGCCGCGGUAAUUC
rnacentral:rRNA from 1 species